UUUGACCCCCGUGCAGGCAUACAUAUCCGGGUCACAGGCGCUUCAUAUUUCAGAGGCAACAUGGCCACGGUAGAAGGAACACGUGAACGUAAAAAAACACCCGAAAAUGCGCAUUUUCUUGGUCAGAGCCGCAUUUUUCCCCGUAGAAGAGUGGAUAAGUGCCUUCGUCAUUGAACAUCCGACUUAGGCUUGACAAGUGCUGGGAGAAAAUGAAGUACCAGGAAUGAGAAGAGGAUGACAACUCACACAAGUCCUUAUUCAAGGUAGCCCCAAGGCCAGACUAUGCUGACAGCAUAGCCCAGUCUCCAGCCAU